UUUCUCUUAUUUCUCUUUUGUUAUAUUAUUAUUCUAUGAUUUAUGGAUUGUAAUUCUUUUACUUGCACAUUUUUGAUAUUUAUGCUAUUUUUCAGUAAUUAGCUCAUUGCUUAUAGCUCUGGGCUAUGGUUUGGGUUUGCCUAUUGGUGGGAUAAAAUAGGUGUUAUCAGGACUCAUGAAAUUGGCUCAUGACAGGAGACUCAUUACAAAUUAUCUUGGUCAACCAAUGCCUUGGUAGGAGCCUCAUGAUGUUCUCAGAGCUAUCAACGAGAAAUAUUAGAGGAAGAUGAAGAUGGCAAUUAUGGUUGCUGCUUUCGAUGCCCUUCUCUACCACACUUUGGAAGCACGAAACUGGAAGAUUCAUAGACAACAAAAUGUAGAUAUCGAUAAAGUUUUGACAUAGAUAUAAAUAGAAAUCAUAGGGAAAAUAGAUGAUUUUCAAGAGAGUAUAGGAGAAGUUACACUUGGAUAUAACAUAUUUGUAUUAGAUAAUUUUUCUUAUUGAUGAGGUCUUAAUCAACUAACUAGUUUGUUA
rnacentral:lncRNA from 1 species